UACGUAGGGGGCAAGCGUUGUCCGGAUUUAUUGGGCGUAAAGAGCGUGUAGGCGGCCUGGUAGGUCAGCUGUGAAAACUCGAGGCUCAACCUCGAGACGUCGGUUGAAACCACCUGGCUAGAGUCCGGAAGAGGAGAGUGGAAUUCCCGGUGUAGCGGUGAAAUGCGCAGAUAUCGGGAAGAACACCCGUGGCGAAGGCGGCUCUCUCGGGA
rnacentral:rRNA from 1 species